rnacentral:rRNA from 1 species
CAGCUUACACAUGCAGUCGAGGGGUAUAGAAGGCUUGCUUUCUAGAGACCGGCAAACGGGUGCGGAACACGUACACAACCUACCUUUAUCAGGGGAAUAGCCCAGAGAAAUUUGGAUUAAUGCCCCAUAGUAUAUUUUGAUGGCAUCAUUAGAAUAUUAAAGAACUUCGGAUAGAGAUGGGUGUGCGUAAGAUUAGCUAGUUGGUAAGGUAACGGCUUACCAAGGCGACGAUCUUUAGCUGAUGUGAGAGCAUGAUCAGCCACACGGGCACUGAGACAUGGGCCCGACUCCUACGGGAGGCAGCAGUGAGGAAUAUUGGUCAAUGGACGGAAGUCUGAACCAGCCAUGCCGCGUGAAGGAUGAAGGCGUUCUGCGUUGUAAACUUCUUUUAUCUGAGAAGAAACCACCGAUUUCUAUUGGUGUUGACGGUAUCAGAUGAAUAAGCACCGGCUAACUCCGUGCCAGCAGCCGCGGUAAUACGGAGGGUGCAAGCGUUAUCCGGAUUUACUGGGUUUAAAGGGUGUGUAGGCGGACUUAUAAGUCAGGGGUGAAAUCUCCGAGCUCAACUCGGAAACUGCCUUUGAUACUAUUAGUCUUGAAUUAUGUUGAGGUUGGCGGAAUAUAACAUGUAGCGGUGAAAUGCAUAGAUAUGUUAUAGAACACCGAUUGCGAAAGGCAGCUGGCUAAACAUAUAUUGACGCUGAGGCACGAAAGCGUGGGUAGCGAACAGGAUUAGAUACCCUGGUAGUCCACGCCCUAA